GACAUGGGCUCCAGGCUCCUCUGCUGUAUGGUCCCUUGUCUUCUGGGAGCAGGCUCUGUGCACACUGGAAUUACCCAGAUACCAAAACACCUGGUGACAGCGAUGGGAAGUAAAGGGACCCAGAAGGGUGAACAUCUGGAACAUAAUUCUAUGUAUUGGGAUAAAAAGAAUGCUAAGAAAUCACCGGAGCUCAUGUUUUUCUACAACAAUAAGGAACUCAUUGAAAAUAAGACUGUUCUGAGUCGCUUCUUACCUGAAUGUCCAGACAGCUCCGUCUUAUGCCUUCACAUGGACGCCCUAGAGCCAGAGGACUCUGCCGUGUAUUUCUGUGCCAGCAGCAAAGACACAGCCCUGCAGAGUCACCUUCUUCCUGUGCACAAACCUCCUGGGUCCAGCCAGGAAGCUGUGGGGGCAACCAAGGCUCAGUUCAUUUCCUAUAGGGCCCUAGACAGAAAUCUCAGACCAUAA